UACGGGGGGAGCAAGCGUUGUUCGGAUUUACUGGGCGUAAAGGGCGCGUAGGCGGCCACCGCAAGUCGGUUGUGAAAUCUCUGGGCUUAACCCAGAAAGGUCAACCGAUACUGCGGGCUAGAGUGCAGAAGGGGCAACUGGAAUUCUCGGUGUAGCGGUGAAAUGCGUAGAUAUCGAGAGGAACACCUGCGGCGAAGGCGGGUUGCUGGGCUGACACUGACGCUGAAGCGCGAAAGCUAGGGGAGCAAACAGG
rnacentral:rRNA from 1 species